rnacentral:rRNA from 1 species
UACGGGGGGAGCAAGCGUUGUUCGGAUUUACUGGGCGUAAAGGGCGCGUAGGCGGCCUGUGCAAGUCAGUUGUGAAAUCUUCGAGCUUAACUCGGAACGGUCAACUGAUACUGCUCGGCUAGAGUGCGGAAGGGGCAACUGGAAUUCUUGGUGUAGCGGUGAAAUGCGUAGAUAUCAAGAGGAACACCUGCGGCGAAGGCGGGUUGCUGGGCCGACACUGACGCUGAGGCGCGAAAGCUAGGGGAGCGAACGGG